GAUGAACGUUGGCGGUGUGCCUAAUACAUGCAAGUCGAACGGAGUUAAUAGCAAUAUUGACUUAGUGGCGAACGGGUGAGUAACGCGUUGGUGAUCUGCCUUGAAGUGUGGAAUAACGCUCCGAAAGGAGCGCUAAUACCGCAUGUGCUCUCAAUUUUUAGAAACUUGAGAGGAAAGGAUUUAUUCGCUUCGAGAGGAGCCUGCGUCCCAUCAGCUGGUUGGUAGGGUAAAGGCCUACCAAGGCAAUGACGGGUAGGGGACCUGAGAGGGUGGCCCCCCACACUGGGAUUGAGAUACGGCCCAGACUCCUACGGGAGGCAGCAGUCGAGAAUAGUCUACAAUGGUCGGAAGACUGAUAGUGCGACGCCGCGUGAACGAUGAAUCCCUUCGGGGUGUAAAGUUCUUUUAUAUGUGAGCAGUGCUUCUUAUAUUAACAGUAUGGGGAGAGAGAUAUUAGCAUAUGAAUAAGCAACGGCUAACUCCGUG
rnacentral:rRNA from 1 species